AGAUUGAACGCUGGCGGCAUGCCUAACACAUGCAAGUCGAGCGGCAGCGCGGGGGCGACCCUGGCGGCGAGCGGCGGACGGGUGAGUAAGGCAUCGGAAUCUGCCCUGAUGUGGGGGAUAGCCCGGAGAAAUCCGGAUUAAUACCGCAUAUGCCCUACGGGGUAAAGCGGGGGACCGAAAGGCCUCGCGCAGCAGGAUGAGCCGAUGUCCGAUUAGCUGGUUGGUGGGGUAACGGCCCACCAAGGCGACGAUCGGUAGCUGGUCUGAGAGGAUGAUCAGCCACACUGGGACUGAGACACGGCCCAGACUCCUACGGGAGGCAGC
rnacentral:rRNA from 1 species